rnacentral:lncRNA from 1 species
AGAGAAAGCAGAGAGAGAGAGCAAUGGCUUCCUCCAUGAUUUCCUCCGCUACCGUGUCUACAGUUUACGCCGACCGUGCCGCCCCGGCUCAAGCCAGCAUGGUUGCUCCAUUCACUGGCCUCAAGUCGUCCUCAGCUUUCCCUGUCACCAGAAAGAGCAACGACAUUACCUCUAUUGCAAGCAAUGGAGGAAGAGUGCAAUGUAUGCAGGUAAGAAUUAAUAGAUGCUACUAAAUUACCAAUUCCAUAAAAUUGUGUUAGUGUUAUAAACUUCUUAUUUAAGUGUGAUUGUGUAAAUCUUAUAUUAGAUUUGAUUCUAAGGGAAUGAUUUCUUCUCUCUCUUAUUACUAUAAAUAAAGUCAGAAGGAAUAACAUAUGCUCUAUACAACCCUACAAACACAUCUAUGUCUAUAUUUUCUUUGUGUCGCCGGCCCUCUCUCCUUAUCAGUUAACUAUAGGCCACAGUUAGUACAUUUAUUUUACAUUUGAAAGCAAUAGUAACCAAAUACAUUUUCAAUAAUUAAUUAGUACAAAAGUUAUUACAUUAUCUGUCGAUAUAUAAUAAAUUAUUAUUAACAGUUUAAUAAAUUAACAUAUCAAACUAAUAAAUAUGCUUGCAAAUUAUAGAAUUUAUUUCCAAAUUACUUAUAUGUAUUUUUGUUUAACUUGGCCGAAAUAAUACUAAUAUUUGUGUAGUUUUUUGGCCAACAAAAAGGUACUAGCCGAAGUACAAUGAAUUUAUCAAAUAUAUUUUCAUGAAAA